CUCAGUUCAGAGAUGUCACUCAGGGGUGGGUAAAUGACUGCAAGAGAAGAUCAAGGAAGUCACACGCCAUCGGUGAGGGAGGCAGCAGAGUGCCAGAGGCCCUGGGGAGAGGCAGCUGGGUUGAGAGCUCAUGAGCAGGUCGUAGCUCGCCAGCACUGGCUGACUUCCUGGGAGCGGCAUUACUCUCCUUCGCCAGCGCCCAGCCCUGGCUGCUCUCACUGGACAAUGGAGAGGAGGCUUGAACCCUAACCACUGAAUUCCACCUCCGUUUCCAACCGGCUGCAUGGACUAUUCCCAGAAGCUUCCUGGAAUAAACCCUGACUGCAUCAAAGGGAGUUUACA
rnacentral:lncRNA from 13 species